rnacentral:rRNA from 1 species
CCUACGGGUGCAGCAGUGGGGAAUUUUGGACAAUGGGGGAAACCCUGAUCCAGCCAUCCCGCGUGUGCGAUGAAGGCCUUCGGGUUGUAAAGCACUUUUGGCAGGAAAGAAACGUCAUGGGUUAAUACCCCGUGAAACUGACGGUACCUGCAGAAUAAGCACCGGCUAACUACGUGCCAGCAGCCGCGGUAAUACGUAGGGUGCAAGCGUUAAUCGGAAUUACUGGGCGUAAAGCGUGCGCAGGCGGUUCGGAAAGAAAGAUGUGAAAUCCCAGAGCUUAACGUUGGAACUGCAUUAUUAACUACCGGGCUAGAGUGUGUCAGAGGGAGGUGGAAUUCCGCGUGUAGCAGUGAAAUGCGUAGAUAUGCGGAGGAACACCGAUGGCGAAGGCAGCCUCCUGGGAUAACACUGACGCUCAUGCACGAAAGCGUGGGGAGCAAACAGGAUUAGAUACCCCGGUAGUC